AGAGUUUGAUUCUGGCUCAGGAUGAACGCUGGCGGCGUGCUUAACACAUGCAAGUCGAACGGAGUUUUAACGGAAGUUUCGGAUGGAAGUUAGAAACUAGUGGCGGACGGGUGAGUAACGCGUGGGUAACCUGCCUCAUACAGGGGGAUAACAGUUAGAAAUGACUGCUAACACCGCAUAAUAUAGCGAAACCGCAUGAUUUUGCUAUCAAAUAUUUAUAGGUAUGAGAUGGGCCCGCGUCUGAUUAGCUAGUUGGUGGGGUAAAGGCCUACCAAGGCGACGAUCAGUAGCCGGCUUGAGAGAGUGACCGGCCACAUUGGGACUGAGACACGGCCCAAACUCCUACGGGAGGCAGCAGUGGGGAAUAUUGGACAAUGGGGGAAACCCUGAUCCAGCGACGCCCGCGUGAGUGAAGAAGUAUUUCGGUAUGUAGAGCUCUAUCAGCAGGGAAGAUAAUGACAGUACCUGACUAAGAAGCCCCGGCUAACUACGUGCCAGCAGCCGC
rnacentral:rRNA from 1 species